GACGAACGCUGGCGGCGUGCUUAACACAUGCAAGUCGAACGGAAAGGCCCUGCUUUUGUGGGGUGCUCGAGUGGCGAACGGGUGAGUAACACGUGAGUAACCUGCCCUUGACUUUGGGAUAACUUCAGGAAACUGGGGCUAAUACCGGAUAGGAGCUCCUGCUGCAUGGUGGGGGUUGGAAAGUUUCGGCGGUUGGGGAUGGACUCGCGGCUUAUCAGCUUGUUGGUGGGGUAGUGGCUUACCAAGGCUUUGACGGGUAGCCGGCCUGAGAGGGUGACCGGCCACAUUGGGCCUGAGAUACGGCACAGACUCCUACGGGAGGCAGCAGUGGAGAAUAUUGCAUAAGGGGCGGAAGGCUGAUGCAGCAACGCCGCGUGCGGGAUGACGGGCUUCGGGUUGUAAACCGCUUUCGCCUGUGACGAAGCGUGAGUGACGGUAAUGGGUAAAGAAGCACCGGCUAACUACGUG
rnacentral:rRNA from 1 species